GCCGAUGUAGCUCAGUGGUUAGAGCGAAGCACUCAUAACGCUUAGGUCGGAAGUUCAAUUCUUCCCAUCGGCA
rnacentral:tRNA from 1 species